GUAGUCGGAUUCACAUUAAUCCAUAUGUGUUGAGUGGAUUGGAGUGGAACUUGAACUAAAUUCUAUCUCAACCGACACCAACACACAUGGAUUGAAGUGAAUCCGACA
rfam:Sorghum bicolor cultivar BTx623 chromosome 9, whole genome shotgun sequence.